GGGCAGCACAUAUACUACAAUUGGAACGAUACAGAGAUUAGUAUGGCCCCAGCACAAGGAUGACAUACAAAUUUAUGAAGCAUUCCAUAAUUAA
rnacentral:snRNA from 1 species